rnacentral:rRNA from 1 species
AACGAACGCUGGCGGCGUGCUUAACACAUGCAAGUCUAACGGGAAUGUCGGCUUCGGCUGACUAGUACCGUGGCGAACGGGUGAGUAACACGUGGGUAAUCUGCCUUCGAGCUCGGGAUAACCUUGCGAAAGCGAGGCUAAUACCGGAUAAGACCACGCCCUGCACGCAGGGUGCGGUAAAAGGUGGCCUCUUCCUGAAAGCUAUCACUUGAAGAUGAGCCCGCGGCCUAUUAGCUAGUUGGUAGGGUAACGGCCUACCAAGGCGACGAUGGGUAGCCGGCCUGAGAGGGUGUACGGCCACACUGGCACUGAGACACGGGCCAGACUCCUACGGGAGGCAGCAGUGGGGAAUUUUGCGCAAUGGGGGAAACCCUGACGCAGCAACGCCGCGUGAGUGAUGAAGGCCUUCGGGUUGUAAAGCUCUUUUAGUGGGGAAGAAGCCCUCCCUGGCUAAUAUCCAGGGGGUCUGACGGUACCCACAGAAAAAGUUCCGGCUAACUACGUGCCAGCCGCCGCCGUAACAC